rnacentral:tRNA from 1 species
GGUUUGUGGCUCAAUGGUAGAGCACUCACCUAGUGCUUGUGAGGCCCUGGGUUCAAUCUUCAGCACCA